rnacentral:ribozyme from 1 species
GACCUCUGUUGUGGAGCCUACAGGAUGCUGUGGAUCUGCCCAGAAAAAACAACCCACA